AGUGGUUUGGCCGAGUGGUUAAGGCGGUGGACUUAAGUUCCAUUCGACAGAGUCGAUCGUGGGUUCAAACCCCACAGCCACUA
rfam:Smittium culicis strain GSMNP scaffold-224, whole genome shotgun sequence.